GAUGAAGAACGCAGCGAAAUGCGAUAAGUAGUGUGAAUUGCAGAAUUCAGUGAAUCAUCGAAUCUUUGAACGCACAUUGCGCCCCUUGGUAUUCCAUGGGGCAUGCCUGUUCGAGCGUCAUUUGUACCCUCAAGCUCUGCUUGGUGUUGGGUGUUUGUCCCGCUUUGCGCGUGGACUCGCCUUAAAGCAAUUGGCAGCCGGCAUAUUGUCUCGGAGCGCAGCACAUUUUGCGCUUCUUGCCCUCAUGUUGGUAUCCAGUAAGCCUUUACAUUUGCUCUUGACCUCGGAUCAGGUAGGGAUACCCGCUGAACUUAAGCAUAUCAAUAAGCGGAGGA
rnacentral:misc_RNA from 1 species